GCCGUAGGGCGCGAGCGUUGUCCGGAUUUAUUGGGCGUAAAGAGCUCGUAGGCGGCUUGUUGCGUCGGCUGUGAAAUCCCGUGGCUUAACUGCGGGCUUGCAGCUGAUACGGGCGGGCUGGAGUUCGGUAGGGGAGACUGGAAUUCCUGGUGUAGCGGUGAAAUGCGCAGAUAUCAGGAGGAACACCGGUGGCGAAGGCGGGUCUCUGGGCCGAUACUGACGCUGAGGAGCGAAAGCGUGGGGAGCGAACAGG
rnacentral:rRNA from 1 species